rnacentral:tRNA from 5 species
GCGGGCAUAGCUCAGUUGGUAGAGCGCUACCUUGCCAAGGUCGAGGUCACGAGUUCGAGUCUCGUUGCCCGCUCCA